rnacentral:rRNA from 1 species
GUGUCAGCAGCCGCGGUAAAACGUAGGUGGCAAGCGUUAUCCGGAUUUACUGGGCGUAAAGGGUGUGCAGGCGGGCGGUCAAGUGGUGUAUGAAAUAUCCUGGCUCAACCAGGAGAGGUUAUGCCAGACUGACCGUCUUGAGUGCGAGAGAGGGGCGUGGAAUUCCGGGUGUAGUGGUGAAAUGCGUAGAGAUCCGGAGGAACCCCAGAGGCGAAGGCGGCGCCCUGGCUCGCAACUGACGCUCAUACACGACAGCAUGGGGAGCGAACGGGAUUAGAAACCCCUGUAGUCC